rnacentral:rRNA from 1 species
AGUGAACGCUGGCGGUAGGCCUAACACAUGCAAGUCGAACGGCAGCACAGUAAGAGCUUGCCCUUACGGGUGGCGAGUGGCGGACGGGUGAGGAAUACAUCGGAAUCUACUUUUUCGUGGGGGACAACGUAGGGAAACUUACGCUAAUACCGCAUACGACCUACGGGUGAAAGCAGGGGAUCUUCGGACCUUGCGCGAUUGAAUGAGCCGAUGUCGGAUUAGCUAGUUGGCGGGGUAAAGGCCCACCAAGGCGACGAUCCGUAGCUGGUCUGAGAGGAUGAUCAGCCACACUGGAACUGAGACACGGUCCAGACUCCUACGGGAGGCAGCAGUGGGGAAUAUUGGACAAUGGGCGCAAGCCUGAUCCAGCCAUACCGCGUGAGUGAAGAAGGCCUUCGGGUUGUAAAGCCCUGUUGUUGGGAAAGAAAUCCAGCCUGCUAAUACCUGGUUGUGAUGACGGUACCCAAAGAAUAAGCACCGGCUAACUUCGUG